rnacentral:piRNA from 1 species
UGGGGAGAUAUUUUUUCUUUGACGUUCAGU